CAGCAGCCGCGGUAAUACGAAGGGUGCAAGCGUUAAUCGGAAUUACUGGGCGUAAAGCGUGCGUAGGCGGUUUGUUAAGACAGAUGUGAAAUCCCCGGGCUCAACCUGGGAGCUGCAUUUGUGACUGGCAAGCUAGAGUGUGGCAGAGGGGGGUGGAAUUCCGCGUGUAGCAGUGAAAUGCGUAGAUAUGCGGAGGAACACCGAUGGCGAAGGCAGCCCCCUGGGCCAACACUGACGCUCAUGCACGAAAGCGUGGGGAGCAAACGGGAUUAGAUACCCCUGUAGUCCCUGUCUCUUAUAC
rnacentral:rRNA from 1 species